rnacentral:rRNA from 1 species
UACGUAGGGUGCGAGCGUUGUCCGGAAUUAUUGGGCGUAAAGGGCUCGUAGGCGGUUUGUCGCGUCGGGAGUGAAAACUCAGGGCUUAACCCUGAGCCUGCUUCCGAUACGGGCAGACUAGAGGUAUGCAGGGGAGAACGGAAUUCCUGGUGUAGCGGUGGAAUGCGCAGAUAUCAGGAGGAACACCGGUGGCGAAGGCGGGUCUCUGGGCCAUUACUGACGCUGAGGAGCGAAAGCGUGGGGAGCGAACAGG